rnacentral:snoRNA from 1 species
AGAAAUGAUGAUAAAAUGAUUAAAACAAGCAUUUGAAGUAAAUUCUUCUGUUUUAAUUUCUUUAAGGAAAAGGAAUCUUUAAUUGUUUCUCGAAA